rnacentral:rRNA from 1 species
UACGUAGGGUGCAAGCGUUAAUCGGAAUUACUGGGCGUAAAGCGUGCGCAGGCGGUUAUGUAAGACAGUUGUGAAAUCCCCGGGCUCAACCUGGGAACUGCAUCUGUGACUGCAUAGCUAGAGUACGGUAGAGGGGGAUGGAAUUCCGCGUGUAGCAGUGAAAUGCGUAGAUAUGCGGAGGAACACCGAUGGCGAAGGCAAUCCCCUGGACCUGUACUGACGCUCCAUGCACGAAAGCGUGGGGAGCAAACGAGGAU